rnacentral:misc_RNA from 1 species
UGUGGGAGCGGGCUUGCUCGCGAAUGCGGUGUGUCAGUCACCCUCUUUGGUGGCUGAUCUAUUGCAUUCGCGAGCAAGCCCGCUCCCACA